GGAUAUGAAGGUGAUAUCACUCUAGCAUCUGUUCCCCCGGUGACUAUUGAGGCAGAUCCAUGGCAAUCUGUUUGUCCUUCCUCGCUGUUCCAUGUGUGUUCUUCCAAACACUGAGCAAUUUGUUCAAAGAGGAAGACCUUCCCUGAUAGUCAUUCUAUUCUUUGGUCAAAGAUAUAUAAGAAGCAGCUUUCUCUUGCUCUAGCAAAGAAGGGUGCUAGUGCCCUCCAAAAGAGGACUGAGGAAACAGAGGAGUUUGUCUCUAUGCCUGCUUUC
rnacentral:snRNA from 1 species